CCUACGGGAGGCAGCAGUGGGGAAUAUUGGACAAUGGGCGAAAGCCUGAUCCAGCAAUGCCGCGUGAGUGAUGAAGGCCUUCGGGUCGUAAAGCUCUUUUACCAGGGAUGAUAAUGACAGUACCUGGAGAAUAAGCUCCGGCUAACUCCGUGCCAGCAGCCGCGGUAAUACGGAGGGAGCUAGCGUUGUUCGGAAUUACUGGGCGUAAAGAGUACGUAGGCGGUUAUUCAAGUCAGAGGUGAAAGCCCGGGGCUCAACCCCGGAACUGCCUUUGAAACUAGAUAACUAGAGUCUUGGAGAGGUUAGUGGAAUUCCGAGUGUAGAGGUGAAAUUCGUAGAUAUUCGGAAGAACACCAGUGGCGAAGGCGACUAACUGGACAAGUACUGACGCUGAGGUACGAAAGCGUGGGGAGCAAACAGGAUUAGAUACCCUGGUAGUCCACGCCGUAAACGAUGAUAACUAGUUGUUCGGUCACUUGGUGACUGAGUGACGCAGCUAACGCAUUAAGUUAUCCGCCUGGGGAUACGGUCGCAAGNUUAAACNAAGAUGACG
rnacentral:rRNA from 1 species